GACGUAGGGUCCAAGCGUUGUCCGGAUUUACUGGGCGUAAAGAGCGCGUAGGCGGCUCGUUAAGUGUGAAGUGAAAUCUCCAGGGCUCAACCCGGAAACUGCUUCGCAUACUGGCGAGCUGGAGUGACGAAGAGGUUUGUGGAAUUCCUGGUGUAGCGGUGAAAUGCGUUGAUAUCUGGAGGAAUACCGGUGGCGAAGGCGGCAUCCUGGACCAUAACUGACGCUGAGGCGCGAAAGCUAGGGGAGCAAACGGGG
rnacentral:rRNA from 1 species